CCGCCUGGGGAGCGGCGUUGCGAAUCGUGGCAGCGCUGGCGAUGCUGCUGGUGGGGGUGCAAAUCAUCCUGGGCGUC
rnacentral:tRNA from 1 species